CGCAGGGCUACGACCAGUCAACGCUCAACACCGUCUCCGUCUUGAUAGUUCUUGGAACGAAAAAGAGAGGAAGAGUAAAAGAUAGGUUCUUUAAAUCUCACGCUCUAAAGCUUGUUUCUUUUUGUUGGGUUUGUUUCUCCUCUGCCAUUUUUUAUCCGUGGGGAAUCCAGGCUUGCGCUUUCUCCUCUUGGAGGCUGGCGCUGCUGAGUAUUGUCG
rnacentral:lncRNA from 1 species